rnacentral:rRNA from 1 species
UAGUCCACGCCCUAAACAAUGUGCACUAGAUUGGGGAUGUCCUAAGGCGUUCCCGGUCGGAGCGAAAGCGUUAAGUGCACCGCCUGGGGAGUACGGUCGCAAGGCUAAAACUCAAAGGAAUUGACGGGGGCUCGCACAAGCGGUGGAGGAUGUUCUUUAAUUCGAAGCAACGCGAAGAACCUUACCUGGGUUGAACUACGCCGAAUUAGCUCUCCGAAAAGAGAGUGACGCUCUUUGAGUGGAACGGUGAUAGGUGUUGCAUGGCUGUCGUCAGUUCGUGUCGUGAGAUGUCGGGUUAAGUCCUUUAACGAGCGAAACCCUUGCCGUUAGUUGCCAGCAAGUGAUGUUGGGCACUCUAGCGGGACCGCCGGUGUCAAACCGGAGGAAGGUGGGGAUGACGUCAAGUCAUCAUGGCCCUUACGCCCAGGGCGAGAAACGUCCUACAAUGGCCGAUACAAAGAGUUGCGAUACCGUAAGGUGGAGCUAAUCUCAAAAAAUCGGCCCCAGUUCGGAUUGGAGUCUGAAAUUCGACUCCA